AGAAAGCCCAAUUAAAAGAAACUAACAUGUUGCUUUUUUUGAUAGUGGGAGAAGCCAAAGUACUUGGAGAGAAUCCACAUCUGCAUAGGAAUAUCGUGGAAACUUCAUGCAGAAACAUCAGAAAAUCAGCUCCAGUGAAACUGAGAAAAACCCCGUGAGACGUCAUGGGGACAGUUUUCACCAUGGAAGUCUGCGGCAUCGACCUGCUGGGAGACAGGAUGAUUCUGCGAAGUGACGGUGAAACGUGUCAUUCCUAUAAACCAUCGGGGGGUUCUAUAGAAAACAAUGCAAACACUCAAAGAUGAGGUGUAGUGAGUCAAUCUUUUCAUCUAGCUGGUUUCACAACUAUGACUGCUGGAGCUCUGGGAGUAUUUGUAUUGUGUUGAAGAUGCAGUUGUUUUGUAGAUCAAAGGGGGAAAAAACUGUCUGCAUUACACACCAGAACUCUGGCAGACUUUUUCUUAAUUCUGCCUCCUGUGGCCGAGGUAGUUAAGAGUUACACUCUGCAGUAAAAAUGAUUCAAAUCCACUCAGACAUGUAACUCACUCUGAGGACAAUAAAGACCAGUCUAGCUUUUAGUCGUCAUGGCGCUUCAGACUUCUUAUGAAUAUAGAAAUGCUUGCUUGACGUUUCAUAUGUGGUAAAGAAAACAGGACAUGCUAAGCUGUAUUAGCAUUGUCUGUUGAUCCAGUGUGAAUCAAACAUGUCAGUAAUUUGUAAAGUAAAAAUUAUCCUACUAGGGAUGCACGAUAUUAUGGGCAUGGUAUCAGUAUCGGCCGAUAUUAGCUGUAAGAUUUAAUCAGCCAUUCUGUCAAAAUAACU